rnacentral:misc_RNA from 1 species
GGGAGGAGGGGGGUAUUUGAGACUGAUUUUGUGGUAUUUUUCGGCCGAAAAAUGCUAAUAUUUUUUGCUCACGGCAUUCUUUGGAAUGUGUAGAUUGUGGAACAAGUGCUGAAAUAUGCUUAUCUAUUGUAAUUUGGCUACGUUAGCCUUAGACAUGUUGCACUGUUGACGCUGAUGAAGAAUAGGCGGCACCAAGGCGGCACCAAAGCUUUAAAGACUAGUAUCUUUUGAAAUUGAAAUUUGCCUCUCAGUCUCUCAAGAUGCCAAAUAGAUGUGCAGGAUUUGAUUGCUGACAAACCAGGGAUGAGGCUCAAGAGUCAAGAGAUCACCCUGCAUUGGCAAGUGGCUGGAACAACCCCAGUGCCGCACAGUUCUGCGGGAUAUUCCGGCACCUGCUCCACCGCUGCGGCGUCCGGCCCGGCAGCACAGGGAAAGUGGCAGCCCUCGACCCGACCAGCAUCCUGGCAGUCGGUCACACGACCAGCGGACGGGGAGCCAGCCUUACUACCUCGGCCUCCACCACCUCAGACAACGGUGCCACGGCACUCCACAUCAUCACGGAGCACGACUUCCAGCCUGGGCUGUCGUCUGGUGGGCAACAUCGCCACCUACAUCGCAGGGUUCGUGGUGAAGAAGGCGCUCGACUCUGUCAGCUGUAGCACCUGUCAGGAGGCCCUGGUGAGCGACAUCCAGCCGGACGACAUGACACAGCUUUACCACCUCUUCAUCAUCUCUGCCAGAUGAGCUAAGGUGGGGACGGGUUACAUGCCUGGGAUCUGACUGAGACCCGCUCAUACCCUGCCAAAGUGUUGGUGAUUUCAGCGGUCAGCUGUCUCUAGCCAGUGUCAGUGAGUCGCGGCCAGCUGCCGCUGGAGUGGGUAUCUACCGUCGAUAGCUGCUGUGUGGCGGAUAGCGUGGAUUUGGAUGGACACUUCAUAUUAAUGAACAGAUCAAUGUCUGGCCGAUAAAAGACGUAUUUUGUCGAUGAUUGCUUAGUGACUGAGUGGGUCCACUGGCGACCAAUGCAGUGGGCGCUGGGUUAACGCCUCGCCUCUUGUGACCGUGUCGAUAUGUAGCACUGUUAAUUGCCGAUUCGUUGCCGGCCGUCUCUGCUCCGUGGCUGGCUGAUCCGGCACAAACUGGUGUUCGUGGCUGAAGGCGCGGCUACAGUUACACUAGCUCGCCACGUGCCUGUGCGACUAUCGUCGGUGCUGUCUGCAAGGGCGAUGUCGGUGCCUGUAGGGGGCGCGGAUUGAUUCAAAGUGAGGAAUGGGUCAUCGGAGCUCGGGUCAGGUCAUGUUCGGCUAAAAUAAGCGGAUUUUGCGAUUUGCCGCAUCCGGGUGAAUUUCCUUGCCUUCUAGUGCAUGUUUAUGCAUUUUACAUGCGUUUUUUUUAGUGUUGAUGUCUAGAUAACGUGCAUUUGCCUCGAGGUCAAGGCUGCGCUUCAUAUGGGCAGUUUUCGGAGCAUGUUGCUCAUUUUAUUCGUAAUCCUUAAUUAUGUUUGCGGAUUUGUGCCCGCAAAUCAUUUUUUAAAGUAAGAUUGACACGGGAUUCGAGAUCGGCGCCCAUAAAUACACUUCACAUGACC